AACGAACGCUGGCGGCAGGCUUAACACAUGCAAGUCGAACGCAUGCCUUCGGGCAUGAGUGGCAGACGGGUGAGUAACGCGUGGGAACCUACCCCUUGGUACGGGGUAGCUCCGGGAAACUGGAGAUAAUACCGUAUGUGUCCUGAGGGACAAAGAUUCAUCGCCAAGGGAUGGGCCCGCGUCGGAUUAGCUAGUUGGUGGGGUAACGGCCUACCAAGGCGACGAUCCGUAGCUGGUCUAAGAGGAUGAUCAGCCACAUUGGGACUGAGACACGGCCCAAACUCCUACGGGAGGCAGCAGUGGGGAAUAUUGGACAAUGGGCGCAAGCCUGAUCCAGCCAUGCCGCGUGAGUGAUGAAGGCCCUAGGGUUGUAAAGCUCUUUCACCGGUGACGAUAAUGACGGUAACCGGAGAAGAAGCCCCGGCUAACUUCGUG
rnacentral:rRNA from 1 species